rnacentral:sRNA from 1 species
AACCUUUGCUGUCUUGGGACGGAUCACCACUGCAAGAGGGGAAGUUGCUACUGUGAUGAAUUCUGCCAUGUGGCACCAGACUGCCACCCAGACCACAGUGUCCUCUGCAACCCUGGUCAAAGGUGCCUACAUGCUCCUUCUAGCUUUGUUUCCCUGAUGUUCCUUGCCACCUGCUACUCCUCUCUGAGCUACUUUUCCAGCUUCUCAGAUGACCAAGAUGGUGCUGCAGAUGGUGCUGAGGAUGGAGAACCCACCAAGCCCCGCUAGGAGCCACCUAGACUGGAUGCAGAGCAUGGCUAAAACCUUUGAAGAAGAAUUUAUUAUAUCCUACAAACCUGGGAGGCAGAGGUUGCAGUGAGCCAAGAUUGGGCCAUCGCACUCCAGCCUGGGCAAUAAGAAUGAAACUCUGUCUCAAAAAAAACAAAAGUUGGCCAGGGCUGGGCGUGGUGGCUCACACCUGUAAUCCCAGCACUUUGGGGGGCUAAAGCAGGUGGAUCACCUGAGGUCAGAAGUACGAGACCAUCAUGGCUAAUAUGGUGAAACCCCAUCUCUACUAAAAAUACGAAAAAAGAAAAAAAAAAU